rnacentral:rRNA from 1 species
GUAGGUGGCAAGCGUUGUCCGGAAUUAUUGGGCGUAAAGCGCGCGCAGGCGGUCCUUUAAGUCUGAUGUGAAAGCCCACGGCUCAACCGUGGAGGGUCAUUGGAAACUGGGGGACUUGAGUACAGAAGAGGAAAGCGGAAUUCCAAGUGUAGCGGUGAAAUGCGUAGAGAUUUGGAGGAACACCAGUGGCGAAGGCGGCUUUCUGGUCUGUAACUGACGCUGAGGCGCGAAAGCGUGGGGAGCAAACAGGGAUUAGAUACCCUGGUAGUCCACGCCGUAAACGAAGAGUGCUAAGUGUUAGGGGGUUUCCCGCCCCCCUUAGUGCUGCAGCUAACGCAUUAAGCACUCCGCCUGGGGGAGUACGGCCGCAAGGCUG